CUCAACCACUGCGCCACCAGGGAAGCCCCAAAACCCUGCAGACCUCGGGAAAUAACAGAAGGCUAUGGAGAUCGAUAAGCCGGUUCUUGCCUCAAUGAGCUCCCAAUUUAGUGGAGAAAAAGAGACACGCAAUUGAACAAAUUGCAGCAAAUGUCCAGUUUCAUCCUUGCUUCUGAGGCUUUCCCGUUUGAAGAGUGUGUAACCACCCAUGAGACUGUUGUUCCUGUUUCUCACCAAACUCGAAGCGUCACUUCCCUGACUGACUCUCAGAUGAUGGUGCCUGGGCUAGUGCCCAGCCUCCACUGUGGCCACAGACAGUGGGUAAAUCACAGGUAACUUACAGCAAAUACCACAUUGAAACUACGUUUAUAGGGAAAUAACCCCUGAAAACAGUUCUCCACUCACCAUGGAAGGCAGAAACAACCGUCAGCGAUGUGGCAGUCCCAGCAUCUAAAAUACCCAAGAGAUGACACAAAUCACAAGUUUAGUAUCUGCAGCUUUGUUAGGGUGACUCUCUUCCCUUUGUCAUUUCUGUGAAAACCUCCCUUUUUUUUUUCUCCCCCAAGAGAAUACUCAUUCUAGGUGACUUGGACACAUCUGUCAUCCUAGAAUGGCUUUGCCCUCCCAGGACAUUAGCUGGACCUUUGGAAAUAUGACAUUAUCAACUCCUAAUCAGAGAAGGAACUUUCUGCUGUGUUCCCAGCAAAGGAAAAAAGGCUUGCUUAUCUACAAUUCCAGCAAUUUAUGUGGCCUCUUGUGAUGAAGGACACACAGAGUUAUCUCCAGGAAAUCAAAGUAAAACUGUGUGGACAUUUGAGAAAUUUCUUCUAGGCACCGAUUAGGCAAUAUUUACAUAGGAUCCCGCUGUACUCUGAAUUUCUCCUAUUUACACUCUAUUAUAAUUUUCUGCUCACUUGUUUAUAUUCUACACUAGAAGGUGAGUUUCACAAGGUUGGGGACCAUAUUUGCCUGUUCACCAUGGUGUAGAUUACCAGCAUAUGCCACAGUGUCUGGCACAUAGUAAAUAUAUUUUCAAUAAGUAUUUGAUAAAUGAAGGAGUGGCUAAGAACAGAGCAAACUCUAACUGGCUCAGAUCAUCAGAUCUGCCUUAUUGACCUCAAGGUAUAGCUAUAU